rnacentral:rRNA from 1 species
CGAACAGAUAAGGAGCUUGCUCCUUUGACGUUAGCGGCGGACGGGUGAGUAACACGUGGGUAACCUACCUAUAAGACUGGGACGACUUCGGGAAACCGGAGCUAAUACCGGAUAAUAUGUUGAACCGCAUGGUUCAAUAGUGAAAGAUGGUUUUGCUAUCACUUAUAGAUGGACCCGCGCCGUAUUAGCUAGUUGGUGAGGUAACGGCUCACCAAGGCAACGAUACGUAGCCGACCUGAGAGGGUGAUCGGCCACACUGGAACUGAGACACGGUCCAGACUCCUACGGGAGGCAGCAGUAGGGAAUCUUCCGCAAUGGGCGAAAGCCUGACGGAGCAACGCCGCGUGAGUGAUGAAGGUCUUAGGAUCGUAAAACUCUGUUAUUAGGGAAGAACAAACGUGUAAGUAACUGUGCACGUCUUGACGGUACCUAAUCAGAAAGCCACGGCUAACUACGUGCCAGCAGCCGCGGUAAUACGUAGGUGGCAAGCGUUAUCCGGAAUUAUUGGGCGUAAAGCGCGCGUAGGCGGUUUUUUAAGUCUGAUGUGAAAGCCCACGGCUCAACCGUGGAGGGUCAUUGGAAGCUGGAAAACUUGAGUGCAGAAGAGGAAAGUGGAAUUCCAUGUGUAGCGGUGAAAUGCGCAGAGAUAUGGAGGAACACCAGUGGCGAAGGCGACUUUCUGGUCUGUAACUGACGCUGAUGUGCGAAAGCGUGGG